rnacentral:rRNA from 1 species
GAUUGAACGCUGGCGGAAUGCUUUACACAUGCAAGUCGAGCGGCAGCGCGGGGCAAACCUGGCGGCGAGCGGCGAACGGGUGAGUAAUAUAUCGGAACGUGUCCUAUCGUGGGGGAUAGCCCGGCGAAAGCCGGAUUAAUACCGCAUACGAUCGAGAGAUGAAAGUGGGGGACCGCAAGGCCUCACGCGACGGGAGCGGCCGAUAUCAGAUUAGCUAGUUGGUGAGGUAAAGGCUCACCAAGGCUCCGAUCUGUAGCUGGUCUGAGAGGAUGAUCAGCCACACUGGGACUGAGACACGGCCCAGACUCCUACGGGAGGCAGCAGUGGGGAAUUUUGGACAAUGGGGGCAACCCUGAUCCAGCCAUUCCGCGUGAGUGAAGAAGGCCUUCGGGUUGUAAAGCUCUUUUGUCCGGGAAGGAACG